AUUCAAAUAUCUUAUAUAGAGUAUAAUAUUGAAGUUAUUAUUGAGAUAUCUUUAUCUUUGAAUA
rnacentral:tRNA from 1 species